CAGACAAAGUUUUAACCUGACUAUAAUUCAAGUUGCUUCCUUUUAGGAACGCGAUCUUGCAAACCUUUCCUUUCUUGAACCGUUGCAAAUAUCAUGAAAAUCGAAAUUAUAAAACCGAAACCGUAUUCAGUAUUUGUUACCGUUUGGAGGCCUUUCCACUCUCGUUCUUUCCGCGGCGUUGUGGUGUCGAUCCGAGCGUCUUCUCCAAAGCUUUUGAGGAACCCUAGGAUUGUUUAUUGGUUUUCUUCGAUCUUUUUUACUGGUUCUUGAACGGUUUUUGUUCUUCUUUACGUGCUGCUGCAAUUGGGAGAAGGUGGUACCGAUGACGGAAGUGAAGCGGGAGAAUGAAAAGGGCAAGCAGGUUCAUGAAGCUACCCUGGAUUUGUGCCCUCCGGCUUUGGAUAUCGGGUCUAAAUUGAAACUUAUGACUGUUUCUGGGAGAACAAGUGGUCCAGUCAGAAGAUCAACAAAGGGAGGCUGGACAGAUGAGGAGGAUGAUAUGUUGACCAAAGCUGUAAGACAAUUCAAUGGGAAAAACUGGAAGAAA